CCCGCCACCGCAGUCCGUCCUUUCUCGCGCGCUCAGCCCUGUCCCAGACACCGCGCGGACCUGCCCCUUGCUCUCCCCGACCGCUAUCAGCUCCAGCUCAGGUAUCACCGCCUAAAAUUUCCCCGAACAGCCUGAGAGUCCAGCAAAGGUUCCGGCCUGCAAGAGUGAACUCCACAAAAAGGACCAGAGAUCCAGAGCAUUAGACGAGCCCCUCAGCCUUAAAAAAAAUAAAAAUUAUGUUAUUUUGUACGUCUGUACAUGAUUAUAAUAUUGAGAAUAUUUUCCUUGCUGGGGGAAAGUGUGCUUAGUGCAAGGCCUCAUGAGGAGAGCAUACAAAAUACACAUGGAUUCCUUCAGACUCCACUUGUGUCUUUUUCUUUUAUAAUCCAAUGUGUCCUAACUACACAUAAUAAAAUUUAGCUGUGAGUGCAUCUAUAA